GGGUCAUGUGAACAAGAGACCAAGAGGAUGGACAGGAGAACCAAAAUUGUAGAACGCCUUUCCUCUGCCCACCCGGCUGCCUUUUCUUUCUCCUUGCUUUAGAAGCCGUACUAGGUUCAACCCACGGUAACUACAAGGUGGCUCGCUCUUGCCUCCCGAAGCACAACCUCCUACAGUGCAGUAUAGCAACACAUCUAAAACCCUGUGUCCAGGUUCCACAUUCUAAGAAAUGAGACCUUAGAUGAAGAUGCUUGUUACUUGCUUUCAGAAAUUCAGUGGCAAGGAAGAGGAAAAAAUUGAAAACUUAGUAAAGAUACGUGACUUCCCUUAGGUAAAGUGAGCUACCUGGCUCCUUCACAAUUAAUGAAAUGAACCUUUCAGUCAGAGCUACUUGAAAUAAAAACAAGGAGACACGACAUAAGAACACACUUGGAAUAGUGCAGGUGGCUGAAUGCACCCAUCCCUCUUAGAGCAAUGAAAAAAAAAAAAAAGAAGUCCUUGAUUUACUAUGCAGGGUUUUUUUUUUUUUUGGAUAAUCAGAAAAAUAAUUUUUGUUCUCAUCCAGCAGCUGUAACAGCUGUAGCUGUUUCAGAAUGUACUCUUAAGGUGAUUUUUUUUUUUUUUGCCUUUCAUCAGAUCAAUAUGUUACUUUGCCUAGUUUAUUUUUAGAUUUACUGAGUGUUCUGAGGGUAGAAAAGGGUAGGAAACUCAAAGGAAAGAAGCAAAUUGGUUUGUAUUUCAAGUUUGGGCUGAAUCUGGACAGGAGAAACCCUUGGAAAUUAAUAAGGAAGGGAGAAGGUUUCCUGGGCCCUCUUUGCUGACAGCUGGGAUAGUGAAAGGAUUUACUGGUGGGGGACUGGGGAAUUUCAGUGCCAGAGAAUAUAACCAGGGCCCUCUGCCACCCUGCAAGGGAUGCUCGCCUGAGUGUGUGGGAGGGCCAACUCCAGAUGGGUAAAGAGAGCUGUUUUUCCUGGAGCAUGAAUGAAAUAUUUACUAUUGAUCAGAGGCAAGGAGGGUCAUUCCCAACAAUCACUUCUCUGUAAUUUCCUAGAAGAUAAGAGGGUUUGACAAUGUGAAUGAAUUUUUCUUCCUAUUAAAUUUAGGAGAGGAAGAUUUUCUUAAAAAUCCAAAACAUAGCUCUAAGAUAUCAGCUGUUUAUGUAGCAACUUACAUUUGGUGUCUUGGCACCUACAGAGAUGAGAGCACGUGCUCUGCAGGUGCCUGAUCUUUGCUGUUUUGGUCACUGUGGAUAAAUAUUGUGUGAUAGCAAGUAUCACACAGCAUCUUUUUCUCUGUCAAGGGUUGUAAAAAGAGCAAUGAUGGUGUAACUCAGAAUGCAAAUGCAUGGGCAUGCAAACGUCUGUCCAUGUAGUCAACUUUUGAUCCUCUUGGGGGCAUCCUUUUAGGACCUGAUUUUUUCUGGGCCGCUACAGUGCAGCUUAGUGCAAAAGGUGGGCUAGUGAGUUAUGAAUCUGAAGUUAGGUAUUUUCCAUUAUUUUUGGAUAAUUACCUUUUUUUCCCUGUGAGGGUGGAAGAUAUGACACAGCUAAAAACAUCUGAAAAGAAACAGAAAUGCUAUUGCAGAUAUGAACAUUGUAAUUACAGGUGUGCAUACCUACUAAAUAUAUGUCCAAAACACACACUUGGUGACUCCUGGUUUUGCCUCCCC
ensembl:lncRNA